CAUUAGAUGACUGAAAGUAAGUAAUGGAAUUUUAAACCAUAAUAUAAUAAGUUAACGUUUAUUUCUAAUG
rnacentral:tRNA from 1 species